AACUGAACCAGCUGCUGAGAGAUGGGACCCGCCCAGAGUGGUUGCACAACAUGGAAGAUCCUAUCAGGCAUAAUUGCAUCUGAGAUAAGUAGACACAUGGCUCAAUACGUGAGCGGGGUCCAGAAAGUAAUUGGCAAAGACACCAGGGGAGCCAACUACUGGUUGACAGAGCAGUCUGCCGUGACUGUAAGAACAGACACACUAACCUGUGCACUGCCUGGAUCUACUACUAGAAAGCCUAUGACUCAAAGCGGCACUCAUGGAUACUGGAAUUCUUGUAACUGUAUAACAGCAACAGUACACAAGAGCCUUAUUCAAAAAAAUCACUGGGGCUGUGGAAGACGACUCUGAAGACCAACUCAAAGCCAAUCGUACAAGUGAACAUCAAGUGCAACAUAUACAUAGAUAAGAAGAUGCUCUGUCCCCCGCUGCUGUUCCCCCUCAGUCAGAUCAUCGCUAAGAGAGGCUACAGAUACAGGUUCUGAAUUGGAGUAACCAUCAACCACCUCCUCUAAAUUGAUGACGUCAAGCUGUAUGCCAGAAGUGAGCGGGAUAUUGACUCACUGAUCCACAUCACAAGGUUCUACAGCAAUGACAUUGGAAUGUUAUUUGGACUAGAUAAGUGUGGUGGAUUGGUAUGAAAGAAAGGUUAGUCUGGAUCAACGACAAUUCAUUUACCGCAUAAUUGCCAGAACAUCCGUCGCCAGCGGGACUUCCACCAGAUGUCCCUUGACUUGCAAAACUCUGUUAGUUCGAGCUAGCAAGUUAUUUGCUGAAAUGGCAAGUUUUAAAGACAAUUUGGAUUGUGCAACAAGGCAGGCCUGCUUGGUUCAAGGAAUUGUUAAGACAAAUAAUGUUUACGGCAUUUACUAUCCAACUAGGACAUUUUGGGACUGAUUGGCGGUGAUUUGCUAUGGACAAAAUACACACCGCGAUACACUGCAUUGGUCUCCAUCUCUGUUGCUUCUGGUAAUCCACAUUCAGACCCACAGCAGGAUUGUUGUUCUGUGUUGUUAUCUCCUCCAUUUCACUCCGCUACCUCCAGUCAGCUGGCUUCACCAUACGGUCCCCUCCUCACGGCUCCCUGUUCCGCCCUGCCUCCGCUCCUGUGUUCAGCCACUCCUCCUUUGACUCCCCGGACUCCAGUGCCUCCUCCUCGGCUCCCCUGGCCCCGGUUUCCCCACGCUCCCCCAGCUCCUUCUCCAUCCUACCUCCAGCCCCAGAAAACCCUCACUGCUGCCCUCGGCAUCCGCCUCCCCACUCCCAUCCAGUUUCUGUUGCCCAAUAAAUCUGUUUUGUCGAGCCUUG